rnacentral:rRNA from 1 species
GAAUAUUGGACAAUGGGUGAGAGCCUGAUCCAGCCAUGCCGCGUGCAGGAUGACGGCCUUCUGGGUUGUAAACUGCUUUUAUCUGGGGAUAAAAAGGCCUUGCGAGGCCAACUGCAGGUACCAGAUGAAUAAGCCACGGCUAACUACGUGCCAGCAGCCGCGGUAAUACGUAGGUGGCAAGCGUUGUCCGGAUUGAUUGGGUUUAAAGGGUGCGUAGGCGGUUUAUUAAGUCAGUGGUGAAAGACGAUAGCUCAACUAUCGAGGUGCCAUUGAUACUGAUGAACUUGAGUGCAGUCGAAGUAGGCGGAAUGGACGGUGUAGCGGUGAAAUGCAUAGAUAUCGUCCAGAACACCGAUAGUGAAGACAGCUUACUAGGCUGUAACUGACGCUGAGGCACGAAAGUGUGGGGAUCAAACAGG